UACGAAGGGGGCUAGCGUUGCUCGGAAUCACUGGGCGUAAAGGGUGCGUAGGCGGGUCUUUAAGCCAGAUGUGAAAUCCCCGGGCUUAACCUGGGAAUGGCAUUUGGGACUGCAAGGCUCGAGUGCGGCAGAGGAGACUGGAAUUCCUGGUGUAGCAGUGAAAUGCGUAGAUAUCAGGAGGAACACCGAUGGCGAAGGCAGUUCUCUGGGCCGUAACUGACGCUGAGGAGCGAAAGCGUGGGGAGCGAACAGG
rnacentral:rRNA from 1 species